CCUACGGGUGGCAGCAGUGAGGAAUAUUGGUCAAUGGGCGCGAGCCUGAACCAGCCAAGUAGCGUGAAGGAUGACUGCCCUACGGGUUGUAAACUUCUUUUAUAAAGGAAUAAAGUGAGGCACGUGUGCCUUUUUGUAUGUACUUUAUGAAUAAGGAUCGGCUAACGCCGUGCCAGCAGCCGCGGUAAUACGGAGGAGCCGAGCGUUAUCCGGAUUUAUUGGGUUUAAAGGGAGCGUAGAUGGGUUGUUAAGUCAGUUGUGAAAGUUUGCGGCUCAACCGUAAAAUUGCAAUUGAUACUGGCAGUCUUGCGUACCGUUGAGGUAGGCGGAAUUCGUGGUGUAGCGGU
rnacentral:rRNA from 1 species